rnacentral:lncRNA from 1 species
UAGAGUUAUUGUAAUCAAUGUGAAUAUCAUGUUUUUUCAAAUCUGUUAUGAGCCUAUAGUAUUUGCUUUCUGAAACUUAAGUGUAUUGUAUAUAUUCUGUAUAGUUAUAUUGUAUUAGCUUGUUUGAUAUAAGGAAAAUAUGUAUUGAGUAUCUUGCUAGCCUGAUUAGUUUUUUUAAAAAAGGUUUAAACUUUUUUAUUUUUUAAUCUUUAAACUGCCCUUUAUUACAUGGUCACAAAUAAAGUUGCAGCUAGGAAAGGGAUGGGCAGAAAAAAACUAGUUUUGAGUGUCUUUAGAUAGAAACACGAGACUAAGGUUCGGUUUUCUUUUUGUUUUCUCAUUAAAAUAUCUUAAGCUUUAUGGAGUAAAA